GGGCGCGAGGGGGAGCAGUUUUGUGGCCGCGGCCACCAUUUCAGGGGCACGAGAGAGCGGGAACAUUCCCGCGGCCGCCAUUGAGUUCGGGGGUGGUCCCCUCGAACGGAACAUCGAAUGUGCCUGCCUGCUCCACCGCAGCCUUACCCGCCUGCCCUUCGAAUCUCGGGCCUCCGGUUUUGAGUCCGUGUGGCCCAGCCAGCCUUGUUAACCGCAUGAUCCCUAAUGUGCCUCCGGAAGGUUUUCCUUUGGAGGAAUCGGCCUCAGACAGGGAGGAGGGCGAGCUUUCUGGGUAUGAGGGGGACAGUGUUUCCACCCCACAGGCCCCUUACCGUUUAUUCUCACCCCCGGAUUUUCCUGUGCUACUCCACAAGGCACGGAAGACCUUAAGGUUGGGGUGUGUGGUGCCUAAUCCCCUGGACACCACCCCUGAGGGGGACCCCGCAGUCUUACCCUCUUUAAAGGCACCUGAGGUAGUGGUGCCUUGCCCUCAGCUCUUUCUGGACAUAAUCCACUCGGAGUGGGAUCCUCCCACCGAAAGUAAGGGUCCCCCCCCAGGGAUUAAACGUCUUUAUACAACCACCAAGGUGGUAAUGGACAAACUUCAGAUACCGCCAGUAGAUGCGGAAGUGGCGGCCCUGGUUACUGGCGCUGUUUUGCCCAGGGAUGGGGGGGAAGUUUUGCGUAACCAUGACGACAAAAAGUGUGACGCCGCCUUGCGGAGGUCCCAUGAGGCUUCUUCGCUCGCUAUGCGGGCCUGCAUGGCUAAUUCCAUAUUUGCAAGAGCCUCAGUGCUCUGGAUUAAAGAGCUUCUGCCCUUGGUUCCCCCUGAACUGUUGCCUCUCAGGCAGGGCCUCAAUAAGUUAUCUAAAGCUUCAGCCUUCAUGGCCGACAGUUCCCUGGAUGCUACCCAACUGUCCGCUAGGGCUUUGGCCUCCGCCGUGACGGUCAGGCGCCAUUUAUGGCUUAAGCACUGGCGCGUUGACCAGAAGUCCAGGUCUAAUUUAGCCACGUCGGCGUUCAAGGGAGGCAAGCUCUUUGGGGAGGUCCUGGAGCCAGUCUUAGUCGAAGGCAAGGACAAGAAAAAGGCGAUGCCAUUGUCAGCGCAACGCCAGGGAGGUAAACAUCUCUCUUCUACCUUCUCUUCAUACAGGGGCUUCCGGUCGUCCUUUCGUUCCCGACAGGACAAACAGGACAGGUUCACCUCCUGGAAGCGUCCACAGGGCGCCUUUAGAGAUGCCGCCCAGUCCAGAUAUCGUCAGCCUGCGCAGCAGAAGUCUGGAUUCAAACGCCCAGCAACCCAAUGACGGUGUUCUGGAAUGUCAGGUGGGAGGCAGGUUACAGUUCUUCGCCCAGGCCUGGGCGAGGAUUUGCUCGGAUAUCUGGGUUCUGCAGACAGUGGCCCAGGGCUACAGCCUGGAUUUCCACCGUCAGCCCCUCGACCGCUUUUUAGUGUCCCCUCAAUCCAACAAGCGGGGCAAACAUGCGCAGAUGCUGGCCGCCAUACGUCACCUGUCAGAUAUCCAGGCAAUCGAGCCGGUUCCCUUGGAGGAGGUUGGGUAUGGCGUUUAUUCCAUUCUUUUUCUGGUGCCAAAAAGGAAUGGAGAGUGGAGAGCAAUACUCGACUUGAAGUAUGUGAAUCGGUUCCUCCGCACGAAGCGUUUCCGGAUGGAAACCCUUCGCUCCAUCUUGAUAGCGCUCCAGGACGGCGACUUCCUGUCCUCAGUGGACCUAAAGGAGGCCUACCUCCACGUCCCAAUUCAUCCCCAGGACAGGAGGUUCCUCCGGUUUGUGUAUGCAGGAGCACACUUCCAAUACCGGGCCCUUCCCUUUGGUCUCUCGACUGCGCCACGCGUGUUCACCAAGAUCAUGGUGGCACUCGUGGCACACUUGAGAGCCAAGGGGAUUCAUUUAUAUCCCUAUCUGGACGAUCUGUUGAUCAGAUCCCCAUCUCACCAGAAGGCCUUGAGGGACGUGGAAGAGACCUUAGUGGUCCUUCAGACACACGGGUUCCUCGUGAACCGUCAGAAAAGCUCCCUCUCCCCCCAGAACCAGAUCCUUCACCUCGGAGCUGUCAUAAACUCUGUAAAGGGCACUGCAUCCCUGUCCCUGGAGAGACGACAAAGGUUGUCUGCCUUGUGUCGAAAGGCCCGCCUACGCAGCCAUCUGGAUGUGCUAUCCCUGAGUCAGCUACUGGGGAUGAUGGUCUCGACCAUAGGCAUAGUCCCCUGGGCUCGCCUCCACUCACGCCCGCUUCAAUGGCUGCUCCUGCCACUUCAGGACCUGGUGUCCGCCCAGUCCCGGCGGAGGGUUCGUCUGGCCCCUCAGGUCAGGAAAUCACUGGACUGGUGGCUGUCUCCGGCUCUGGCCAAGGGUGUCUCUUUCUUGCCGGUGCACCACAUUCUGGUCACCACAGACGUCAGCCUCCAAGGGUGGGGGGGGCAUUGCCAAGAUCAAGUGGCACAAGGCCUGUGGUCUCCGUCCGAACGGGUCCAGUCCAUAAACUGGCUGGAACUCAGGGCGAUUCGGUAUGCUCUACUUCAGUUUCUCCCCUUGAUUCGCGGGUCCCACGUUCUAGUGAGGACCGACAGCGAAACAGCCAAGGCUCAUGUCAACAGGCAGGGGGGAACGCGGGCAUGGCCGCUGAUGCACGAGGCCUCGCUGCUUCUGCACUGGGCAGAAAAGAAUCUAACAUCUUUGGAGGCAGUACAUGUCAGCGGCGUGUCCAACACGGUGGCAGACUGGCUGAGCCGGACACAGCUGGAUCAGGCAGAGUGGGCCCUGGACGAUCGGGUGUUCUGCUCCAUCACGGAGAAGUUCGGGACCCCCCAGGUGGAUCUGUUCGCCACACCAGGAAACACCAAGGUGCCCAGGUUCUUUACCAGAUACCUGGCGCCAGGGGCCGAGGGAACGGACGCCCUAGUGUCUUCAUGGCCAACAGGACUGCUUUAUGCGUUUCCGCCCCCGGCCAUACUUCCACAAACGGUCAGGCUGGUCCGGCAACACCGGGCGGAAGUUAUAUUAGUAGCCCCACGGUGGCCACGUCGGCCGUGGUUUUCAGAUCUGGUCUCCCUGUCGCUGGCCCCCCCGAUGCCCCUGGGGUGCCAUCCACAUCUUUUGCGCCAGGGGCCGCUGUUCCACCCAGAUCCUCAGUGGCUGAACCUCAACGCAUGGAGAUUGAGCGGGGCACGCUAGUGGCCUGUGGCUACGCCCCUGCUGUCCAGAAAACCAUUCUCGCCUCCAAACGCCCGUCCACCCUUAGGGUGUACCAGUCCACCUGGCGGGCAUUUUCUGUUUGGUGCGCCUCUGUGGGGUCCAGCCCCAAGUCCGCCUCAGUCGGCCAAGUUCUGGGGUUCCUUCAAGCCGGGCUGGACAAAGGUCUUAUGCCGGCCACCCUCAAGCGGCAGAUGUUCUCCAUCUCCAGUACCCUCCAGGUGCCGGGAGCGCCUCCCUUAUCGGCACAUCCUCAUAUUAAAAAGUUCCUCAAAGGGGCGGCGGCUCUCAGGCCUCCCCCAUCCAUCGUUUCCCCACCUGGGACCUCAACCUGGUCCUCCGGGCACUGGUCAAGCCCCCCUUUGAGACUUUGCGCUCCAUUUCCUUGCGGCUACUCACCCUCAAGGUUAUUUUCCUGGUUGCCAUCACCUCGGCCCGGCGGGUGUCGGAUCUAGGGGCUUUAUCGGCCAGAAAGGAGCUGUGCUUGGUUUACUCAUUAUGUGGUGCUGCGCACCGACCCCACCUACCUUCCCAAGGUCAAUUCAUUUUUUCAUAGGUCUCAGGAACUGGUCUUGCCUUCCUUUUGCCCUAAACCUUCGACCCCUAAGGAAAAGGAAUGGCAUACGCUCGACGUCAGGAGAGCACUCAGAAUUUACUUGCGUCGGACCAAAGCCUUUCGGGUCUCCGAAUCCCUAUUUGUCUCCUUCAGGGACUGCUCACUGGGGAAAAAGGUGUCAUCCUCCACAUUGGCGCGCUGGAUCUGCCAGUGCAUCCGCCUAGCUUACGCAUCAGCCAAGGUGGCGGAGCCGGAUGGCAUUACCGCUCAUUCCACACGUAGUGCCGCAUCCUCCGCGGCCCUGACCACCACGGCCCCUCUGGCUGACAUCUGCAGAGCGGCCACGUGGGCUUCCCUUUCCACUUUCGUAAAAUUCUAUAAGAUUCAUGACUGGGCCUCUGCCGACGCUUCUUUCGGCAGACGGGUUCUCCAACGGGUGGUUCCAACAUAGUCCCAUACUCACGGAUCCCACCCUCUGUUUCCUAGCAGCUAUGGUAUGUCCCAUCAUGCCUUUCGGAUGCCAUCCUCUUCUGAGGGAGAAUGAAUCGUUGGCACUCACCUGAAUGGUCAUUCUCCUCAGAAGUAUGGAUGGCAUCCGACCCGCCCGACCGUUCGUUUCUGCUUCUGUUUGUUUUCCAACUUAUCCACCUCUCUGUUCCCUAUAUAGGUGUGGGGAGGCUCUACUCUUCCGCGUUGUAUGUCUCAUCCCAUGGGUGGGGUUUUUCCGCUAAGACAGUUCACAGCUCGUUUCUUCUAAAGUUCUACCUUGCUUGUUGUUUCAUUCUGCUUGGUUCUUUCUCUGAUACUGUUUUUCUCUAGCCGGAGCAUCGGAGAGCUAGCAAUAGACUGGAGCCUGAGGGGAUUGCCCCUCCCUCCUGCUACAGGAGGAAAAGCUCUCUGAUUGGCCCUGUCUCGGAGCAGGAGGUCGUGACAACCCAUCAUGCCUUUCGGAUGCCAUCCAUACUUCUGAGGAGAAUGACCAUUCAGAGGCUGCGACAAGAGGAGCGGCAGCGGGAUGCUGAGUGGGAGCAGCAGCAGCAGCUGGCUGACCGGGCUGCCAUGGAGAUGGAGGCGCAGGAACAGGAUUUCCGCCUGCAACUGAGGAAGAGCCUGGAUGCUUACAA